UACGAAGGUGGCGAAUGUUGCUCGGAUUCACUGGGCGUAAAGCGUCGGUAGGAGGCUUGUUAAGUCAGGUGUGAAAGCCCCGCGCUCAACGUGGGAAUUGCACUUGAAACUAACUGGCUUGAAGGUAAGAGAGGAUGGCGGAAUAUCCGGUGUAGAGGUAAAAUUCAUAGAUAUCGGAUGGAACACCCAUGGCGAAGGCAGCUAUCUGGCUUACUCUUGACUCUGAGCGACGACAGCGUGGGGAGCAAACAGG
rnacentral:rRNA from 1 species